UAUAGAUUCAAAGCAAACAGACAGGACCUUCUGCCCAAGAAGAAUGUAAACCUUGUGGAAGGGUUGGAAAGACUUUGGCUGAUCAGGAUCCCAUAAGACUGAUGGGUGAGCUUUGAAAGUACACCAACAGGACAGCUUCUCCCAUCGGUAUAGCUGAUUCACCUUGGCAAGAGGCGGCAGCUAUGUCACAUAUGGACUUGUUACACUCCUGAGCAACGUAGUUAUAGCAACGUAAGUGUGCAGAGUAGACCUGGUCCUAAUUAUUUUACACACACCUUUUUAAGACAGAAGGGGAUUCUGAAAGACAACUUUAGGCUGAAAUAGAGCCUUUCUUCUGAUAUGCCAUAGGGGAUGUUAUUUCUGUAUGUUGUAAGACUUUGUGUGGGGUUGGCCGUUUUUCAUAGCAUCCUAACACGAUGGGAUCCUAUCUUUUUAUUGAUGGCUUCCUCAAUUUGUUUUAUGUGCCAUAAAACUGCUGUUUUUAAGACUGGACUGUGAAUACUAAUAGGUGAGGAAAUUCAGUGGUGUGCCUCUUGGAGAGAAACUCAGUUCUGGCUACAGAGAAGGGAGAAUCUGCAAUGGGUAAUGGUCAGUGCAGAAAGUCAUAGACAUGAUAGACAUUUUGAGCUCUGUCUCCACAUAGGGCUGCAAACAAAAUGGGGCAGAUCUGUAUGUGGCCAAGUAGAGCAAAAUGACCUGAAAGAUACUAGACGUAAUUCCAGAGAUGGCUCCAAUGGGGAAAAGGAGCUGAUAUCCAGAUGCUCAAAGGUAUUUAGGUGCAUAAUUUCCAUUGCUCACAAUGAAAGUUAGGU